rnacentral:piRNA from 1 species
UAUUGUAAUUUUUGUAUCAUC